GUAAGCAUAUCAAUAAGCGGAGGAAAAGAAACCAACAGGGAUUGCCUUAGUAGCGGCGAGUGAAGCGGCAAUAGCUCAAAUUUGAAAUCUGGCACUUUCAGUGUCCGAGUUGUAAUUUGAAGAAGGUAUCUUUGGGUCUAGCUCUUGUCUAUGUUUCUUGGAACAGAACGUCACAGAGGGUGAGAAUCCCGUGCGAUGAGAUGUCUAGAUCUAUGUAAAGUUCCUUCGAAGAGUCGAGUUGUUUGGGAAUGCAGCUCUAAGUGGGUGGUAAAUUCCAUCUAAAGCUAAAUAUUGGCGAGAGACCGAUAGCGAACAAGUACAGUGAUGGAAAGAUGAAAAGAACUUUGAAAAGAGAGUGAAAAAGUACGUGAAAUUGUUGAAAGGGAAGGGCUUGAGAUCAGACUUGGUAUUUUGUAUGUUACUCUCUCGGGGGUGGCCUCUACAGUUUACCGGGCCAGCAUCAGUUUGAGCGGUAGGAGAAUUGCGUAGGAAUGUGGCUCGGCCUCGGUCGAGUGUUAUAGCCUUCGUCGAUACUGCCAGCUUAGACUGAGGACUGCGGCUUCGGCCUAGGAUGUUGGCAUAAUGAUCUUAAGUCGCCCG
rnacentral:rRNA from 1 species